AGAACACCCUGAUGGUUUGAACAACAAUGUUCAUUGCAAUUCUCUAAAUACGAUUGCAGGAAACAUCAGUCUACGACCGCCCGAAAGAGCUGAUAGCAGGCAGCUAUGUGGAGUGAACUUUAAUGGUCGCUCAAUUGAAUUGAAUGAAGAUGUUUUUGCAUCUGGUGGUAACAGAACAUGCCCCAUUCCUGGACCUCAUUAUACAUGGGGUAACUCCUACCGGCCCCAGCCUCCUGCUCCAGGUGUUGUAUGGCCAAAUUCUCCAUCUUAUAUGAAUGGAA
rnacentral:misc_RNA from 1 species